rnacentral:rRNA from 1 species
GAUGAACGCUAGCGGCAGGCCUAAUACAUGCAAGUCGAACGGUAACAUGAGUAGCAAUGCUUGAUGACGAGUGGCGCACGGGUGCGUAACGCGUAUGCAAUCUACCUUUAACCGGUGAAUAGCCCGAAGAAAUUCGGAUUAAUACACCAUAGUAUGAUGAGGAGGCAUCUCCUUAUCAUUAAAGUUCCGACAGUUAAAGAUGAGCAUGCGUGACAUUAGCUAGUUGGUGAGGUAACGGCUCACCAAGGCCACGAUGUCUAGGGGAUCUGAGAGGAUUAACCCCCACACUGGUACGUGAGACAGGACCGACGACUCCUACGGGAGGGCAGCAGUAAGGGAAAUAAUUUGGACGAAUAGGACGGAGAGUC